AUUGAACGCUGGCGGCAUGCCUUACACAUGCAAGUCGAACGGCAGCACGGGGCAACCUGGUGGCGAGUGGCGAACGGGUGAGUAAUGCAUCGGAACGUGCCAUUGAGUGGGGGAUAACGUAGCGAAAGUUGCGCUAAUACCGCAUAUUCUGUGAGCAGGAAAGCAGGGGGACCGCAAGGCCUUGCGCUCUUUGAGCGGCCGAUGUCAGAUUAGCUAGUUGGUGAGGUAACGGCUUACUAAGGCGACGAUCUGUAGCGGGUCUGAGAGGAUGAUCCGCCACACUGGAACUGAGACACGGUCCAGACUCCUACGGGAGGCAGCAGUGGGGAAUUUUGGACAAUGGGCGCAAGCCUGAUCCAGCCAUGCCGCGUGAGUGAAGAAGGCC
rnacentral:rRNA from 1 species